GCCCAACGCUUACUCAACAUGUUUGGCUUUUUGCAACAGAGGUAUCUUUUCUUUUCUCCAGGUAACCGAACGGACCCACAACAAAUUUUAGCAUUGCCACAUCCUUCCAGCCCCAGAUUACUGUUUCUACAUCUAAACAUAUUAUGAGAAAGCGAAAAGGAUAUCGCAAAGGGUAUCGGCAAGCCAACAAACAUUUUGAAAAUCACAUGAAGACCAUGUCUUCAAAGUAAUAUUGAGAGAAAAAAGCCUGAGAUCAGGCUGGCAUGCUUCUCCCAAUUCAACUUAUUGCAAGUUUUUAAUUUCUAAGCAUUGAAACUUAAACUUAAUUUCCUGUUUUUUUCAGGUCAAAUUGUUGCGGAAUCCGACUGCGAUGAGGAACGGAGUGAUUAUGAUGAAGAAAUGGCGUUGACGAAAAUAAUUUGAAUUCAUGCAACACACGCAAAGAAGCUCAUUGUUCUAUGCCAGAGUUCCAACAAAUUUUGGACUCCACCAUCCCUAUUGACAGAGCCGUAAGUGCUUCCUAUGAAAGCUUAUUCAUUCUUUUAAAUAACAUGUACCUAUAAAUGAUGGCAUUUCAAACCCUUUAUUAUUGUUUCACUCUCUUAAAGGCAACCUAGGUACAAACAUUACCCAUUGUUAUAACUUUUUAUAGCCUCUUGCUCACAAAAUGUUUAGUAAAUCUUCCAAGAAGUAGCACUUGCUACCUAAAGUUUCCAUGAAAGAAAUAUUAUUAAAUGUGACAAGAAAUCUGGAACAAUUUAAUUGAAGAAACAUGGUUCUUUCCUUUAAUAAGACUACAUCACGCUUCAGGUUUCUAUGUUUUGCUUUCCUAACUUGCACCCUCAAUAACAUGUAUCAUCUUGUCUUUCUGCAGAAUGCGGGUGGAGCAGAAGUACAGAUGCAAAACAGUGGGUCUGAGGCAGAAGAUGAAUUUGAGGAUUAUAUAAUAGAAGUAAUUGAAGAUUGUGGGGACACAAGCUCUAUAUCUGUUGCUCCUUCAGAAACAUUAAACCAUGGUCAGUCACUCGAAUCGCCUUCUACGUCUAAGUCUCAAGGCUCCUCGAAUCCUGGAAGUAGUAAGAAAUCUCCCGAUGCUGAAGAUUCAAGUAUCUCAAAGAAAGUGGAUUGGUCCCAUUACAAUGUUCCAGCAUUAAGAAGUAAAAAAUCAGAUGCUCUGACACUGAAGAAAGGUAAGAAGAGGAAGCUGUACGGCAAAACCAUACAGGAAAAAUAUGAGCAAGACAGGCAAGUCCUCAUCGAGACUCAGAGAGAUUAUUAUAUCACGCUACAAAAGCAAAACAUUGAAAAGCAUAAUAAAGAAAUGGAGCUGAAGAAUUUGGAGGCUGACUACUGGUGUGCGAGGAAAGCAGCAGAGGAAAGGUACUGGUUACAGAAAAUCGAUAGAGAAGAGAAAGAAGCUGCAUUGAGAAUGAAAUUAGUCGAGGAGGAGUUGAAAGUAAUGUCAAGGGGAACAUCCAGCUCAAAUGAUUAUAAUGGCAAUACUGAUUUUUAAAUCCUAUCAGACUUUGCAGUAUGUACAUACUUGCACUGAGAAACGCUUCUUCAUGUGCCUUGUGCCUCUGUAUGGAGCUAUGAUUUUUCCCCACACUGGGGUGCUUCAAUUCUUGAAGUGUAUAAAGUUUCGUUUUUUUACGUUCUCUGAAGAAGUCCUGUUAUGUGCCAUUGAGCUAUGUACAAAUUUGUGUCGGCCAAUUUCGAUGCAAGUUUGCUUGUUGAAAAUUCAAAUGACCUUCUUUUCAUUUUAGGAAGAAAUGCUAAGGAUUAAUUAUGAGGAUAAAAUAGUUUAGGCAUCAUUUUUUUAAAUAGCCUUUAUGCUCCUAAUUACCAGUAUUUAAUUUGUAUUCCUUCCAGUAUAGUCUCAAGAGUUGAUCGCUAACUAAUUAAUUGUAUAUUCUUCAUUACCUCAGAUCAAAUUCUUAAAUUAUCAAUGCUACCUUGUGUUCUUAGUUUUUGUUUUCUUUAAUCUUUUUUAAUUUUAUGUUUGUUAUGUACGUCAACUAAGAGAUUUUUUUUAUUUCCUUUUUUCGAAUGUGUCUAAGUAAUAGAACGAGGGGUCUAAAACCACAUUGAGCUCUCCUUUGCAUACAUUCUCUCAAGUGGAAGCCAGGUUCCUUGACACUGUACAAGAUACAUUUACCGAAAGCUCAUUCUAGUGCCCUUAGUUCUUAGAUUUUUCUUUCCUCUAAUAUGUUGCGUUACCUUGAUUUAAUUGAUAUGAAAUUGAUUUAAUUGUUGAAAUGUUUAGCGAGUCCUUCAGCCCCUUUGUUAUCUACAUUGAGUAGUUGAAGAAAGGCCCUGAAAUUGGCUUGAGCUACUCUUUGGGUUGGUGCCCUUGAGCUAAUUCCAGGCCCUUCACAUUUUGCCAGACAUUUUGCCAAAGCUUAUUUCGAAGCUCCUAAUUUUUGAACUCCUUUAAUUUUUUGGGCAAUCAUGGCGUCUGAAAGAAAGCAGGAACUGCAUUGCAAAGCUGGUUUCAUUAUGCAGCUUCAUUUCUCUUCCAAAAGAAGAUUCACGUGCUUAUAAUCUUAUUCUUAAUAUUUUAACUGAGAAUCUUAUAAUUACCUAUUCCAAAUUGUCAUUGAGAAUAGAGACCCAUCUUUUGCCUCAUAGUUACCAUUUAAAACUAUGUGCAGUAAUUAAACCCUUGCAAAAUUGCUGUGUGUUCCAUUCUCUCUGCCUGAAGACUGCCGAAUAGGUUUGAUGCAAUUUGUACAAGACUUCAUUUUUUCCGUUAAUGAUUUUCCUUCUUCGUUUAUGUUUGUGGAAGUGUUAAUCUACUUAAGCAGAGGAAAAAGUCUAAUCUUUAAAACUAUUUUGCAAUUUAUUUCCUAAGUCUGAUGAAUUUAGUCAUAUAAAUUUUGCUAACUAAUUUUAAUUUUAUUUUUUGCCUUCUUGUGAAUUUUCCUCAUUAGAUGCAGUCUGAACCAUUCUCAGUAUUGAGAUAAAAGCUGAGUCUGAUGAAUUUAGUCGAAAAAUGUUGGUACUAAUUUUAAUUAUAUUUUUUGGAGGCUUAUUGAGAUGAUGAAUUUAGUCUUAUAAAUUUUGCUACUACUUUUAAUUUUAUUUUUAGGGAGACUGAAGUAUUGAGAUAAAACUGAGUCUGAUGAAUAUACCUAGUCUUAUAAAUUGUGCAACUACUUUUGAUUUUACUACUUUACUUUUCGUAGAUUUUCCUUGUCACAUACAGUCUGAUCCAUUCUCAGUAUUGAGAUACAGUCAUAGAAGUUUGCUUGUAAAUACGUUUAUUUUGUUGUUGUUCUUGUCCGCCAUACUUUGUACUUUACUUGCUUCAUCUUUGUAUUAUCUAAUAUGU
rnacentral:lncRNA from 1 species